GUGUUGUGUGAAAAGAGAGAAGGUUAACACUCCCCUUAAUAAGAAUGGAAGGGGCCCUAGAGGCCUUACAACACACAAAUGGUUGAGGCAAUGCCAUCUACUUAGUGGCAUCUAACCAUGUCUUUAG